CAUAAGAACUGCCAACACCAACACAGAGCAAGCCAGAGCACAGAUGUGAUGGAAUGCUGGGCUGUGGAUGUUCAAGCUUUCCAUACUUUGAAGAAGCCUCAGAUUGGGGGAGUUGGAAUUUGCAGUGGCAAACUGGAACCUAUCUGUGCUCAUCAGUUGGCUUUAAGAUGACACAACUCUCUUGUGGGAGAGCUGAUGAAAAUGCUGAUCCUGCUCAGGAAUUCUGCGUUCAUCCUGAAGAUCCAAGCCUACAGACAUCCAGCUGUAAUCAGGCACUGAAUGAAACUAAAGUAAGGACAACUGAAACAAGUGAAUCCACAGAAGUAUUUGGGACCUCCUAUUACUCCUGGUCAUUCAGAUGUUCCUGAUCAUUCAGACUUCCCUGGACACCUUUCAAAACAGUCAGAGACCUUUUUGUCUGCUGGAUUUUGAUGACCAGGGUAGCAAUUGUAAAUGUGGGAGAGACGUCAGCACAUUUUUGUGCAUAUUUUUGAUAUUGUAUGUGGUUUUUUUUUGUUCUUAAAUUGUAACCUACAUCAAGCUACAGACAGUAGAGAUGUGAAGGCCCAGGGAAAAAAACAGAAAAAUUCAAGAAAAAAUUGAAAAAGAAAAAAUGGAUUAUGGAUUGUUUUAUUUUAGCAUGAUGAAUAAAAUGUUUCAUUGAAUCUUGGUCCCCCCCUUUUUCUCAGCUAUUUUUAUGAGCAUGGAUGCUUUAUGUCUGCUUGACACUGUGGAGGACUAGUGGAGACAUAAAUAAUUUUCUUUGUUAUUAAUGCUGAUGGUUUCUUCCGGUUUUUUUAAUUUUUUGCCUGCUCCUCAUAAACUGGCAAAACA